UAGGGAAUCUUCCACAAUGGACGCAAGUCUGAUGGAGCAACGCCGCGUGAGUGAAGAAGGCUUUCGGGUCGUAAAACUCUGUUAUUGAAGAAGAACGUGUGUGACAGUAACUGGUCAUGCAGUGACGGUAUUCAAUCAGAAAGUCACGGCUAACUACGUGCCAGCAGCCGCGGUAAUACGUAGGUGGCAAGCGUUGUCCGGAUUUAUUGGGCG
rnacentral:rRNA from 1 species